UACGGGGGGUGCGAGCGUUGUCCGGAAUCACUGGGCGUAAAGGGCGCGUAGGUGGCAUGAUAAGGGUGUGGUGAAAGCCCGGGGCUCAACCCCGGGUCUGCCAUGCCGACUGUCACGCUAGAGUACUGUAGGGGCAGGCGGAAUUCCGGGUGUAGCGGUGGAAUGCGUAGAGAUCCGGAGGAAGACCGGUGGCGAAGGCGGCCUGCUGGGCAGUUUGGCUGACACUGAGGCGCGACAGCGUGGGGAGCAAACAGG
rnacentral:rRNA from 1 species